rnacentral:rRNA from 1 species
AGCAGCCGCGGUAAUUCCAGCUCCAAUAGCGUAUAUUAAAGUUGUUGCAGUUAAAAAGCUCGUAGUUGAAUUUCGGGAUUAGUACGCUGGUCAUGCCUUUGGUAUGUACUGGUGUUACUGGUUCCUACCUUCUGAAGAACCGUUCAUUAAUUUGGUGUGGCGGGGAAUCAGGACUGUUACUUUGAAAAAAUUGAGUGUUUAAAGCAGGCUCGCGCUUGAAUACAUUAGCAUGGAAUAAUGAAAUAGGACGUUGAUCCUAUUUUGUUGGUUUCUAGGAUUGACGUAAUGAUUAAUAGGGAUAGUUGGGGGCAUUAGUAUUCAAUUGUCAGAGGUGAAAUUCUUGGAUUUUAUUGAAGACUAACUACUGCGAAAGCAUUUGCCAAGGAUGUUUCAUUAUCAAGAAUGAAAGUUAGGGAUCGAAGACGAUCAGAUACCGUCGUAGUCUUAACCAUUAAACGUAUGCCGACUAGGUAGUCGGAGUGUNUAGUUAUUUUUAAUUGUACUUCAUUCGGUCGCCGUU